rnacentral:tmRNA from 1 species
GGGGGCGAUUGGCUUCGACAGAGAUGUGAAGUUCAGGGUUGCAUAUCAAGGGUAGCUGGAUACCUUGUAAAUCCAUCUGGCAUUAAAUUUAAUCGCCGAUUUAAGUCCAUUGGCAUUAGCCCCUAGCCUUAGCUAGAGGGCUACACCCCUUACUUUCUGCUUUGUGAAGUAAGAACGGUGUCAGAAAGCGGAGCUAGCCUUAUUUCUGGGCAGUAGGGGAUAAGGCAAAUCAAAAGCUGCUAGCCUCUUUUUCAUCCUGUCUGCGGGAGGGGGAAAAGGUGAAUUUAAAUUGUAGACUAAGUAUGUAGAUACUCUGACUCUUUAGUUUCUGGACGAGGGUUCGAUUCCCUCCGCCUCCACCA